rnacentral:rRNA from 1 species
UAGCGUAUAUUAAAGUUGUUGCGGUAAAAAAGCUCGUAGUUGGAUUUCUUCUGACAACUACCGGUCCAUACCACGUAUGCGCAUCUGGUUAGGUGUCGGAAUCCUCUCGAUAGACGUUUCUGCGCUUGAUUGCGUGGUGCGGAUCUCGGGACUUUUACUUUGAGGAAAUUAGAGUGUUCACGGCAGGCUGUCGCCAGAAUACAUUAGCAUGGAAUAAUAUUAUAGGAUCUCGGUUCUAUUUUGUUGGUUUCUAGAAUUGGGAUAAUGAUUAAUAGGGACAAUUGGGGGCAUUCGUAUCAACACGUC